rnacentral:rRNA from 1 species
AUUGAACGCUGGCGGAAUGCUUUACACAUGCAAGUCGAACGGUAGAGGGGGCAACCCCUCGAGAGUGGCGAACGGGUGAGUAAUAUAUCGGAACGUGCCCAGUCGUGGGGGAUAACGUAGCGAAAGUUACGCUAAUACCGCAUACGAUCUAAGGAUGAAAGCGGGGGAUCGCAAGACCUCGCGCGAUUGGAGCGGCCGAUAUCAGAUUAGGUAGUUGGCGGGGUAAAGGCUCACCAAGCCAACGAUCUGUAGCUGGUCUGAGAGGACGACCAGCCACACUGGAACUGAGACACGGUCCAGACUCCUACGGGAGGCAGCAGUGGGGAAUUUUGGACAAUGGACGCAAGUCUGAUCCAGCCAUUCCGCGUGCAGGAUGAAGGCCCUCGGGUUGUAAACUGCUUUUGUACGGAACGAAAAGGUCUCUCUUAAUACGGGGGAUUCAUGACGGUACCGUAAGAAUAAGCACCGGCUAACUACGUGCCAGCCGCCGCGGUAA